GUCCAGGUUGGCACAUUGAAUGCUCUGCUAUGGCUGGAACUAUUCUGGGAGAGUCGAUGGACAUUCAUGGAGGGGGAUUUGAUCUUCGAUUCCCCCACCAUGACAAUGAAUUGGCACAGUCUGAGGCAUACUUUGAAAAUGAUCACUGGGUUCGAUAUUUUUUGCACACUGGUCAUUUAACAAUUGCUGGCUGUAAAAUGUCUAAAUCUUUAAAAAACUUCAUUACUAUCAAAGAUGCGCUGAAGAAACAUACAGCACGACAUUA